rnacentral:lncRNA from 1 species
CCCUAAUUACGAUAAAGUCUUCAUCGGCUCCUGCCUUAAGUCCUCAUCGGCCUUUGCCCCAUCAGCACAUACACGCCCUUUUAGCAGCAGUCUCCACGCCCUUCUCCAUCGGCAUCGGCAACCAUAAGUUUUAUCGGCAAUAAUCAGCAAACAUCAUUUUUGACCUUAUACCAAUACUGAAUCAGCAGAAAUCUCCUACCGAUCAUUCCCUAUCAUCGGCACUAUCUUUAUUAGUUGAUCCUCAUCGGCAUCUUUCUGCCACAAUACAAUAACCAUUCUGUCAUCAAUCGGUCUGUCUCAACUAACUUGACCCGUUCCAAAAACGGUGUCAACAAGUACGUCUUCACUGCCCAUCAGCAAUCUCAACAGACUAUGUCAAUAUCCAGCUUGGGGGAGAGCAACCCCCGUACACCGAGCUAAGUAUCCCUUACUCACUUAUCUAUUUAUUCCUAGUGCGUU